rnacentral:rRNA from 1 species
AGCGUACACGGUGGAUGCCCUGGCAGUCAGAGGCGAUGAAGGACGUGCUAAUCUGCGAUAAGCGUCGGUAAGGUGAUAUGAACCGUUAUAACCGGCGAUUUCCGAAUGGGGAAACCCAGUGUGAUUCGUCACACUAUCAUUAACUGAAUCCAUAGGUUAAUGAGGCGAACCGGGGGAACUGAAACAUCUAAGUACCCCGAGGAAAAGAAAUCAACCGAGAUUCCCCCAGUAGCGGCGAGCGAACGGGGAGCAGCCCAGAGCCUGAAUCAGUGUGUGUGUUAGUGGAAGCGUCUGGAAAGGCGCGCGAUACAGGGUGACAGCCCCGUACACAAAAAUGCACAUGCUGUGAGCUCGAUGAGUAGGGCGGGACACGUGGUAUCCUGUCUGAAUAUGGGGGGACCAUCCUCCAAGGCUAAAUACUCCUGACUGACCGAUAGUGAACCAGUACCGUGAGGGAAAGGCGAAAAGAACCCCGGCGAGGGGAGUGAAAAAGAACCUGAAACCGUGUACGUACAAGCAGUGGGAGCACGCUUAGGCGUGUGACUGCGUACCUUUUGUAUAAUGGGUCAGCGACUUAUAUUCUGUAGCAAGGUUAACCGAAUAGGGGAGCCGAAGGGAAACCGAGUCUUAACUGGGCGUUAAGUUGCAGGGUAUAGACCCGAAACCCGGUGAUCUAGCCAUGGGCAGGUUGAAGGUUGGGUAACACUAACUGGAGGACCGAACCGACUAAUGUUGAAAAAUUAGCGGAUGACUUGUGGCUGGGGGUGAAAGGCCAAUCAAACCGGGAGAUAGCUGGUUCUCCCCGAAAGCUAUUUAGGUAGCGCCUCGUGAAUUCAUCUCCGGGGGUAGAGCACUGUUUCGGCAAGGGGGUCAUCCCGACUUACCAACCCGAUGCAAACUGCGAAUACCGGAGAAUGUUAUCACGGGAGACACACGGCGGGUGCUAACGUCCGUCGUGAAGAGGGAAACAACCCAGACCGCCAGCUAAGGUCCCAAAGUCAUGGUUAAGUGGGAAACGAUGUGGGAAGGCCCAGACAGCCAGGAUGUUGGCUUAGAAGCAGCCAUCAUUUAAAGAAAGCGUAAUAGCUCACUGGUCGAGUCGGCCUGCGCGGAAGAUGUAACGGGGCUAAACCAUGCACCGAAGCUGCGGCAGCGACGCUUAUGCGUUGUUGGGUAGGGGAGCGUUCUGUAAGCCUGUGAAGGUGUGCUGUGAGGCAUGCUGGAGGUAUCAGAAGUGCGAAUGCUGACAUAAGUAACGAUAAAGCGGGUGAAAAGCCCGCUCGCCGGAAGACCAAGGGUUCCUGUCCAACGUUAAUCGGGGCAGGGUGAGUCGACCCCUAAGGCGAGGCCGAAAGGCGUAGUCGAUGGGAAACAGGUUAAUAUUCCUGUACUUGGUGUUACUGCGAAGGGGGGACGGAGAAGGCUAUGUUGGCCGGGCGACGGUUGUCCCGGUUUAAGCGUGUAGGCUGGUUUUCCAGGCAAAUCCGGAAAAUCAAGGCUGAGGCGUGAUGACGAGGCACUACGGUGCUGAAGCAACAAAUGCCCUGCUUCCAGGAAAAGCCUCUAAGCAUCAGGUAACAUCAAAUCGUACCCCAAACCGACACAGGUGGUCAGGUAGAGAAUACCAAGGCGCUUGAGAGAACUCGGGUGAAGGAACUAGGCAAAAUGGUGCCGUAACUUCGGGAGAAGGCACGCUGAUAUGUAGGUGAAGUCCCUCGCGGAUGGAGCUGAAAUCAGUCGAAGAUACCAGCUGGCUGCAACUGUUUAUUAAAAACACAGCACUGUGCAAACACGAAAGUGGACGUAUACGGUGUGACGCCUGCCCGGUGCCGGAAGGUUAAUUGAUGGGGUUAGCGCAAGCGAAGCUCUUGAUCGAAGCCCCGGUAAACGGCGGCCGUAACUAUAACGGUCCUAAGGUAGCGAAAUUCCUUGUCGGGUAAGUUCCGACCUGCACGAAUGGCGUAAUGAUGGCCAGGCUGUCUCCACCCGAGACUCAGUGAAAUUGAACUCGCUGUGAAGAUGCAGUGUACCCGCGGCAAGACGGAAAGACCCCGUGAACCUUUACUAUAGCUUGACACUGAACAUUGAGCCUUGAUGUGUAGGAUAGGUGGGAGGCUUAGAAGUGUGGACGCCAGUCUGCAUGGAGCCGACCUUGAAAUACCACCCUUUAAUGUUUGAUGUUCUAACGUUGACCCGUAAUCCGGGUUGCGGACAGUGUCUGGUGGGUAGUUUGACUGGGGCGGUCUCCUCCUAAAGAGUAACGGAGGAGCACGAAGGUUGGCUAAUCCUGGUCGGACAUCAGGAGGUUAGUGCAAUGGCAUAAGCCAGCUUGACUGCGAGCGUGACGGCGCGAGCAGGUGCGAAAGCAGGUCAUAGUGAUCCGGUGGUUCUGAAUGGAAGGGCCAUCGCUCAACGGAUAAAAGGUACUCCGGGGAUAACAGGCUGAUACCGCCCAAGAGUUCAUAUCGACGGCGGUGUUUGGCACCUCGAUGUCGGCUCAUCACAUCCUGGGGCUGAAGUAGGUCCCAAGGGUAUGGCUGUUCGCCAUUUAAAGUGGUACGCGAGCUGGGUUUAGAACGUCGUGAGACAGUUCGGUCCCUAUCUGCCGUGGGCGCUGGAGAAUUGAGGGGGGCUGCUCCUAGUACGAGAGGACCGGAGUGGACGCAUCACUGGUGUUCGGGUUGUCAUGCCAAUGGCACUGCCCGGUAGCUAAAUGCGGAAGAGAUAAGUGCUGAAAGCAUCUAAGCACGAAACUUGCCCCGAGAUGAGUUCU